CAGGACGUAGCUAAGACAGUCAAAGCACCUCCCUUACACUGAGGAGCCACUCGUGCAAAUCGAGUCGUUCUGA
rnacentral:tRNA from 1 species